AUUGAACGCUGGCGGCAGGCCUAACACAUGCAAGUCGAGCGGAUGAAGGGAGCUUGCUCCUGGAUUCAGCGUCGGACGGGGGAGUAAUGCCUAUGAAUCUGCCUGGUAGUGUGGGGUAACGUCCGGAAACGGGCGCUAAUACACCAUACGUCCUGUGGGAGAAAGUGGGGGAUCUUCGGACCUCACGCUAUCAGAUGAGCCUAGGUCGGAUUAGCUAGUUGGUGGGGUAAAGGCCUACCAAGGCGACGAUCCGUAACUGGUCUGAGAGGAUGAUCAGUCACACUGGAACUGAGACACGGUCCAGACUCCUACGGGAGGCAGCAGUGGGGAAUAUUGGACAAUGGGCGAAAGCCUGAUCCAGCCAUGCCGCGUGUGUGAAGAAGGUCUUCGGAUUGUAAAGCACUUUAAGUUGGGAGGAAGGGCAGUAAGUUAAUACCGUGCUGUUUUGACGUUACCAACAGAAUAAGCACCGGCUAACUUCGUG
rnacentral:rRNA from 1 species